rnacentral:rRNA from 1 species
UGGGGAAUAUUGGACAAUGGGCGCAAGCCUGAUCCAGCAAUACCGCGUGUGUGAAGAAGGCCCGAGGGUUGUAAAGCACUUUCAAUUGUGAAGAGGGGAUAGUUAGUUAAUACCUGUCUAUCCUGACGUUAACUUUAGAAGAAGCACCGGCUAAUUCAGUGCCAGCAGCCGCGGUAAUACUGAAGGUGCAAGCGUUAAUCGGAAUUACUGGGCGUAAAGCGCGCGUAGGCGGUUACUUAAGUCAGAUGUGAAAGCCCCGGGCUCAACCUGGGAACUGCAUUUGAUACUGGGUGACUAGAGUAUGUUAGAGGGAAGUGGAAUUCCGGGUGUAGCGGUGAAAUGCGUAGAUA